rnacentral:tRNA from 1 species
GCAGAGGUGGUUCAGUGGUAGAAUUUUUGCCUUCCAUACAAGAGACCUGGGUUUAAUUCCUGGCCAAUGCA